rnacentral:lncRNA from 1 species
ACAACUCCUCUUUGCUUGAUCCCAAACAUCAAAUUAGGUCAAAGUGCCUCUGAGAAUCGCAAAUCCGCUGGACCAGGACCUAAUAUUCCCUUCUGUUCACUUAUCUUCCCCAAUCCCAGAGGUGGCGGUAUCCCCUUCUGUUCGCUCAUCUUCCCCAAUCCCAGAGGUGGCGGUAUCCCCUUCUGUUCGCUUAUCUUGCCCAGUCCCAAUGGCGGCGGUAUCCCUUUCUGUUCACUUAUCUUCACCAGUCCAGGAGGUGGCGGUAUCCCCUUCUGUUCACUUAUCUUGCCCAGUCCAGGAGGUGGCGGCUCUGAAGUAUUUUCCUUGUCUCUCCAUCCAAUUGGUUGCCAUUCUCUCUGCAACAUCAA